rnacentral:lncRNA from 1 species
CCAUCAAGUAACUAGUUCUUGAGCUUGGAAUUUUCUCCAUUUCUCUUUAGAGUGUGUUUGUGAUUGUUUCAAGUUCUUGAUUAAAAAGUAGUAUAAUUUUGUAUUUUGUGCAUUGAAUCAGUAGUUGAUUAUCUAAGGGAGAUGUAUUAAAUUGAGAUUUCAAAGGAUUUUAAAAGACUUUUUUAAGAUACAAAAGUUUUGUGGUAUUCAAUCAAGACUUUUACAAAAGUCAAAUAAAUCUUGUGGUAUUCAAUCAAGACAAUUAAGAUUUUUUUUUCAGGGCAACAAAAUUCGCUGGUAUUCAAUUGAGAUUUCUUACAACUUUUAAAAUGUCUAUUGGUAUUCAAAAGUCUACGGAUUUUGAUAGAUUCUUCUUUGGAAUGGAUUUUGACCGACUUUUUUUGUUAAAAAUACACACAAAACAUUUAUCCAACAAUCUCACUCCAACCCAUGAGACUUUUUAUAAUCUUCCAAGACUUUUUUUUUUCUCUCAUCAUCUUCUGCAAAACAGGAAUAUUACCAAAUUCUUUCUCUUACGAUCUAUUCACAAUCAAUUUUUCGUUUGAAUGACAGUCUAUAGGCAUACUGGUUAUUGCUGGCAAUCAAUUUCUUUUUUUCUUUUUACAAUCCAUUGAUUCAUGAUUUCACUUUUUAUAAGCUACAUGCAUACUGGUUAUUCAUAUGGUUUUUUCUUCAUCGUUCAUACAUAUAUGCCACUUUAAAAAAUCUGUAACAUAAUCUCUGUAACAUAAUUUUACAACUUUGAAAAAUUCUGUAACAUAAUUUUGUAACUUUUUGCAACAAAAAAAAAAAUGAUUAUGCAACUAUUCACUUUUUUUUUUUUUUUUUUUUUUUUUUUUUUUUUUUUAUGAUUCAUGGUUAUUUUUUCAUCAACCUGUUCAUUUUUUUUCCAACAUUUAUUCAUUUUUUUAUUAAUUUUUACAUUUUUUUGUUUAAUAUCUAUUUAUUUGAUAUUCAUGAUUGUUUGAUUUUUUUUAAGGAAUGAUUCUUUUUCAUUGAUUGAUUCAUUAUUAUUUUAGAAAAUAUUUAUAUUGAAUUUAUUGAGUCAUUUAAAUCUUAAAAGUCUAUAAGUAAUUUGAAAUCUCAAAAGUUUGUGUAUAAAGUAUCACAAAUUCAUGUGUUAAGAAUCUUGAUUGUAAAAAGACUUUCAAAAAAGUAUUCUAAAAUCCCAUAAAAUCAAUACAAUCCCCCAAAGUCAUUUAAAAUCUUCAAGACUUUUUUUGCUAAAAUUGUCUUGUGAAAUCUUAAUCCAAUACACCUCCCUAAAUUAUUUACCGGCUGGUGAUUAUCUAAAUUUUGUAGGGUGUAUCAGUAUGACAAAUUUCAUUACUCUACCGUUAAUAUGUGAUAUUUGUUUUGUAAGGUGAGGAUUGCCUCUAGUUCAAUAAAACUUAAAGGUUGUUGACAUUAGUUAUUUCCUUACCACUAUACUCCUAAAAUGUAACAUCGUUGUUUAUGGAUUGUUUUUGCAAAUUGAACUUUUUCUUAAA